AGAAAUUCAUCCAAGAAAAGCUUGAUGAUCCCGGUUCAUUCACUCUGCCAUGCUCUCUAGGACCAUUGACAUUCAAUAGGUGCCUUUGUGAUUUGGGAGCAUCUGUUAGCCUUAUGCCUCUCUCUACAGCUAAAAGGCUAGGGAUC
rnacentral:sRNA from 1 species